AUUGAACGCUGGCGGCAUGCCUAACACAUGCAAGUCGAACGGCAGCGCGGGCUUCGGCCUGGCGGCGAGUGGCGGACGGGUGAGGAAUACAUAGGAAUCUGCCCAGUCGUGGGGGAUAACCCGGGGAAACCCGGACUAAUACCGCAUACGACGGUGACGUGAAAGCAGGGGACCUUCGGGCCUUGCGCGAUUGGAUGAGCCUAUGUCGGAUUAGCUAGUUGGCGGGGUAAAGGCCCACCAAGGCGACGAUCCGUAGCUGGUCUGAGAGGAUGAUCAGCCACACUGGGACUGAGACACGGCCCAGACUCCUACGGGAGGCAGCAGUGGGGAAUAUUGGACAAUGGGCGCAAGCCUGAUCCAGCAAUGCCGCGUGGGUGAAGAAGGCCUCGGGUUGUAAGCCUUUGUACGGAGAACUCCUCUAUUCUUAGAGGCCUGACGGUACCAGAGGAAUAAGCACCGGCUAACUCCGUGCCAGCAGCCGCGGUAAUGUCGA
rnacentral:rRNA from 1 species